rnacentral:rRNA from 1 species
UGGGGAAUAUUGCGCAAUGGGGGAAACCCUGACGCAGCGACGCCGCGUGGGUGAUGAAGGCCUUCGGGUCGUAAAGCCCUGUCGUAGGGAAAGAACUGGUUGCAGGCUAAUAUCCUGCAGCCUUGACGGUACCCUACAAGAAAGCACCGGCUAACUCCGUGCCAGCAGCCGCGGUAAUACGGAGGGUGCAAGCGUUGUUCGGAAUUACUGGGCGUAAAGAGCGUGUAGGCGGCUGACCAAGUCCGGUGUGAAAGCCCGGGGCUUACCCCCGGAAGUGCGCUGGAAACUGGUCGACUAGAGUAUGGGAGAGGGAAGUGGAAUUCCUGGUGUAGCGGUGAAAUGCGUAGAUAUCAAGAGGAACACCUGAGGUGAAGACGGGUUGCUGGGCUGACACUGACGCUGAGGCGCGAAAGCCAGGGGAGCAAACGGGAUUAGAUACCCCAGUAGUCCCUGAGCGGGCUGGCAAGGCGCAU